rnacentral:rRNA from 1 species
AACGAACGCUGGCGGCAUGCCUAACACAUGCAAGUCGAACGAGACCUUCGGGUCUAGUGGCGCACGGGUGCGUAACGCGUGGGAACCUGCCUUUAGGUUCGGAAUAACUCAGAGAAAUUUGAGCUAAUACCGGAUAAUGUCUUCGGACCAAAGAUUUAUCGCCUUUAGAUGGGCCCGCGUUGGAUUAGCUAGUUGGUGGGGUAAAGGCCUACCAAGGCGACGAUCCAUAGCUGGUCUGAGAGGAUGAUCAGCCACACUGGGACUGAGACACGGCCCAGACUCCUACGGGAGGCAGCAGUGGGAAUAUUGGACAAUGGGCGAAAGCCUGAUCCAGCCAUGCCGCGUGUGUGAAGAAGGCC